AAUAAUUAAUGUGGAAAAUGAUAUGGACUCGGGCCGGCGACCGUGGAGCUGGGAACUGGGAAGGAUAAAGUGCUUUCUGUGGAGCAUUUUCUGUCCUCAGCGAGCUUCUCAUGGCGAUGAAAACCACCGUUUCUCCGCUUACUGAUUUCCAUUUCAACAUCCACUCGCCAAAAAUUCAACCAAUAUCUCUGAAUUCGAGCUACGCCUUGCCCCUGCCCUUCUCAGUUCGUUGUAAUCAAAACCUCCCCCUUCAUUUGCGCCGACGAUUUCUGCACUCUUCUGCCAUUCAGCGCCGUCGAUCUCUGCCGUCGACUUGUCUCGUAUCAGACGGAACUGCAUACAAUGUGGAGGCAAAGGCCACUACCGAUGAUCUGUCUCUUGAAGUGAAGAAGAAAGCAAUGGAUGUAGCUCCUGAAUUGAAAGGAACUUCCAUCUUUCUUGUGGGGAUCAACAGCUCCCUAAAAACUAAGUUGGGGAAACUCCUUGCUGAUAUGUUGAGAUAUUAUUACUUUGACAGUGAUGGUUUGGUUGUGGAAGCUAGUGGUGGUGUGGCUGCUGCCAAACUUUAUAAGGAGAGUGAUGAAAAUGGUUUUCGGGCAUCUGAGACUGAAGUGUUAAAACAAUUAUCUUCAAUGGGUCGACUAGUUGUAUGUGCUGGAAAUGGUGCUGUUCGGAGCUCUACUAAUCUGGCGCUUUUGAGGCAUGGCAUAACGUUAUGGAUUGAUAUACCCCUACAGAUAAUAGCAGAGGAAUUUGCUGAAGAUCGUGGGCAACUUCCAGUAUUUGAUAUAUCUACUUCUGGAUCUUAUUCAGAGGUGCUGGGUCAAAUAACUUCCCUAUACCAAGAAAUUAAAGUAGGAUAUGCCACGGCUGAUGCUUCAAUCUCACUCCAAAAACUAGCAAGUACAUUAGGAUACGAUGACUUCAAUGCUGUUACAACCGAAGACAUGGCUUUGGAGGCUCUGAAGGAGAUAGAAAAGCUGAUAAGAAUGAAGAAGAUGAUGGAAGCAGCAGCAAAACCUUUUUAAUAAAAAAUGCAGCUCGUCUUCUAUGGUGUUCAUAUAAAACGAUCAAGAGCCCUAAUCAGGUACAAGAAGAGUCGGACCCCAAAUCAAAGACGAAAUUGCGGACACUAUAAGAUGAAGACAAAGCACAUAAAUAGGCCAUGAGAGAGCCAUUUGCAUUAAAAGAAGCCAAACGGACUGUGGAAAGGCCAGGCGGCGGCAGCUUUUUGUUGCGUGAAAAAGAAAGAGGAGCAGUAUAAUGGAUAGACAAAGGCAUUAUUAGGGCACAGCCACAGCCACAGCCACAGCUUUUGAACUUACUUACGGGUUAGGACAUGUCAAAUAUCACAAGUGGAUGACAUUGUCUUGCUCCUUGUCACAUGUCCAUACAUCAUGGUGGAAAAUUAUUAACCUUGUAUUCAAUACUCGUGAGCUUCAACCCGGAGUUAUAGUAUAAAUGUCGAUCCAAAUUCUAGUUGGUUGACUUAUUCGAAAGUGAGAGUAAAUGACGUACAAUUGUACUGCGAG